GCAGUCGUGGCCGAGUGUUUAAGGCGAUGGACUUGAAAUCCAUUGGGAUCUUCCCGCGCAGGUUCGAAUCCUGCCGUCUGCG
rnacentral:tRNA from 1 species